rnacentral:ncRNA from 1 species
GAAUAGAGGCGCGGACUGCAUCAGUACCGCACGGGAGCCCCUCACCGGGCUGCGAACGUGCGCGAAAGGGCUGGCCGCCGAAAUGGGCGCUUGGGUGAGGGCGCGUCCGUUGGGCGACGGAAUAAGAUUUCGUCGACUGUCACAGCCAAGAGUGGCUGUGGGGCGCUAUUCG